rnacentral:rRNA from 1 species
UACGUAGGUGGCAAGCGUUGUCCGGAUUUACUGGGCGUAAAGAGCGCGCAGGCGGUCGUUCAAGUCGCGUGUGAAAGCCCCCGGCUCAACUGGGGAGGGUCACGCGAUACUGAUCGACUCGAAGGCAGGAGAGGGUAGUGGAAUUCCCGGUGUAGUGGUGAAAUGCGUAGAGAUCGGGAGGAACACCAGUGGCGAAGGCGGCUCACUGGCCCGAUACUGACGCUGAGGCACGAAAGCGUGGGGAGCAAACAGG